GAUGAACGCUGGCGGCGUGCCUAAUACACGCAAGUCGAGCGAACAGAUAAGGAGCUUGCUCCUUUGACGUUAGCGGCGGACGGGUGAGUAACACGUGGGUAACCUACCUAUAAGACUGGGAUAACUUCGGGAAACCGGAGCUAAUACCGGAUAACAUUUGGAACCGCAUGGUUCUAAAGUGAAAGAUGGUUUUGCUAUCACUUAUAGAUGGACCCGCGCCGUAUUAGCUAGUUGGUAAGGUAACGGCUUACCAAGGCGACGAUACGUAGCCGACCUGAGAGGGUGAUCGGCCACACUGGAACUGAGACACGGUCCAGACUCCUACGGGAGGCAGCAGUAGGGAAUCUUCCGCAAUGGGCGAAAGCCUGACGGAGCAACGCCGCGUGAGUGAUGAAGGGUUUCGGCUCGUAAAACUCUGUUAUUAGGGAAGAACAAAUGUGUAAGUAACUGUGCACGUCUUGACGGUACCUAAUCAGAAAGCCACGGCUAACUACGUG
rnacentral:rRNA from 1 species